GCCUGUGGUCCCAGCUAUUCGGGACGCUGAGACUGGAGGAUCUCUGGAGUCCAGGAGUUCUGGGCUGUAGUGUGCUAUGCCGAUUGGGUGUCCGCACUAAGUUUGGCAUCAAUAUGGUGACCUCCCAGGAGUGAGAGGCCACCACGUUGCCUAAGAAGCGGUGAACCGGCCCAGGUUGGAAACGGAGCAGGUCAAAACUCCAGGUGCUGAUCAGUGGUGGGAUGGCGCCUGUGAAUAGCCACUGUACUCCAGCCUGGGCAACAUAGCGAGACCCUGUCUCU
rnacentral:SRP_RNA from 1 species